AUAGUACUACCUUCAUCUGAAAAUACUUGUUCUAGAGAUGAAUGUAUCUAGACUUAUUUUAAUUAUAGAUACAUUCAUUAUAUGUAUUUUUAGGACAAAUAUUUUCGGACGGAGGGAGUACAUC
rnacentral:pre_miRNA from 1 species